rnacentral:rRNA from 1 species
UUUUUUAGAGAGUUUGAUCCUGGCUCAGGACGAACGCUGGCGGCGUGCCUAACACAUGCAAGUCGAACGAGGUUACUUUGAUUAAUCCUUC